UGCGACCUCAAAUCAGAG
rnacentral:rRNA from 1 species